ensembl:lncRNA
UAGAAGUCAAUGUGGGAUUUUAAUAUAUAAACAAAAACACUUGACAGAAGUUUAAUACAAUUUUGUAAAGGAAAGCAGAGGAAAACAUUUUCCCAAAUGAAUCUUUUCAAAAUGUCACCAUCAUUCCGAAAGCAAGUGAAGAGGUUUGUGUAAAAGCAGUCCUCCCUGACCAGCUCUGUCCCUGACUCUAAACCCUGACUCUCAACCCUAACGCUAAACCCUCUGAGGGCAGGAAGACGCGCCUUCAGUGUAAAGGUUUGAACCACAGAGAAGGAAGAAAAGAGGAAGCAGGAGAGAGUAGUGAAGUAGUGAGGUAAGUGACAGACGUGAGGGAAAGGCGUGUGGAAGCACACGGUUACAUGUGGGGUCAAGAAGAUCACUCCCACUGGAGGUCAUUGAUCCAUCAGCCUCAGACUGCUGAGCUCAGCAGGUCUUCUGGAGGACGAGGCUCAGAUGAACUGAGGAGACGGGACCAUUAGGAUGCCAGGAUCAGGGCGGGCUUAGCUCAGGUGUGUCUACCCCCGACCAACAGGAUCAGGUGAGGUUCAGCUCAGGUGUGCCUGCCCGGACCAAACAAGGACAUUGAUUAGGUUCAAAAUUCAAAAGAUGCCACAUUUUCUGAACCAAAGAUAAGUCAUUAAGGAUCAGGCAGGCUUUUGGGUGCCUUGCUCAAGGACGCAUCACUGUAUUCUGAGGACCUGAACCCGGCACCAUUGGUUUGAGAGUUGAACACUCAACCCCCUACCUAGUCCAGAUAAUGCAAACUUAUGAGGAAUCCUUUAUGGUAGAGUACAGGUGGUCCUCAGGAUUUGCCUUCCAGAUGUACGGCUUCACCAUCAUUCCUCCAGAUUCCUGGUCUGGUUACAAACGCAAUUUGUCUCUAAUGUAAUGCAACAAACACAGUAGUAGUUUGUCUCUAAUGAAAGGUAACAAACACAGUAGUAGUUUGUCUCUAAUGUAAUGUAACAAACACAGUAGUAGUUUGUCUCUAAUGAAAGGUAACAAACACAGUAGUAGUUGGGCUCAAAUAUCAGGUAACAAACACAGUAGUAGUUUGUCUCUAAUGUAAGGUAACAAACACAGUAGUAGUUUGUCUCUAAUGUAAGGUAACAAACACAGUAGUAGUUGGGCUCUAAUGUAAGGUAACAAACACAGUAGUAGUUGGGCUCUGAUAAAAGGUAACAAACACAGUAGUAGUUUGUCUCUAAUGUAAGGUAACAAACAAAGUAGUAGUUGGGCUCUAAUGUAAGGUAACAAACACAGUAGUAGUUUGUCUCUAAUGUAAGGUAACAAACACAGGAGUACUUGGGCUCUAAUGCAAGGUAACAAACACAGGAGUAGUUUGUCUCUAAUAUCAGGUAACAAACACAGUAGUAGUUUGUCUCUAAUGUAAGGUCACAAACACAGGAGUAGUUGGGCUCUAAUGGCGCGUAACAAAGUAGCAGUUGUAGUUUGUCUGGUAAACAACCAUAAUAGUAUGCCGUAACUUGUACUGGACAAACUAAUCCUGCGUUACAACAAGUCCACUGUUUAUUUUAGGCAAACUUACGACGAUCCUGGUUGGUGGAGUGAUGUCGUCCUCCAGAGUCUUGGCUCCUCCAUCAGCUCUCCUCAGCCAGAGUCCUGGUCUGGAACAAACAGCGUGAGUCUGGCCCUAAAGUCUGGUAACAAACAUGUAGUUUGUCAUAUUUUUCAGCCCUUUAUUUCCAGUGUGUUUGGUUAUUACAAACUUGCGAUCCUUGUUGGCAGAGUGAUGGUCAUCCUCCAGAUUCACCGCUCCCCUACCAGCUCGCCUCCGCUCCAGAAACACGUUCUAGUAAGAAAACACAUCGGUAGUUGGUUAACGCAUAUCAAAGUGUAUUUUGCCC